rnacentral:rRNA from 1 species
UGCCCUAGCUAACGGCGAGUGAAGCGGCAACAGCUCAAAUUUGAAAUCUGGCUUCGGCCCGAGUUGUAAUUUGCAGAGGAUGUUUCUGGCGCGGUGCCUUCCGAGUUCCCUGGAACGGGACGCCACAGAGGGUGAGAGCCCCGUAUGGUUGGACACCAAGCCUGUGUGAAACUCCUUCAACGAGUCGAGUAGUUUGGGAAUGCUGCUCUAAAUGGGAGGUAAAUCUCUUCUAAAGCUAAAUACCGGCCAGAGACCGAUAGCGCACAAGUAGAGUGAUCGAAAGAUGAAAAGCACCUUGAAAAGGGGGUUAAAUAGUACGUGAAAUUGUUGAAAGGGAAGCACUUAUGACCAGACUUGGGCCGGGCGGCUCAUCAGGGGUUCUCCCCUGUGCACUCCGCCCGGCACAGGCCAGCAUCGGUUCUCGUGGGGGGAUAAGACCGUCAGGAACGUAGCACCCUCCGGGGUGUGUUAUAGCCUGGCGGACGAUACCCCCGUGGGGACCGAGGUCCGCGCUCCGCAAGGAUGCUGGCGUAAUGGUCAUCAGUGACCCGUCUUGAAACACGGACCAAGGAGUCGUCCAUUAGAGCGAGCGUUUGGGUGUAAAACCCGCACGCGUAAUGAAAGUGAACGCAGGUGAGAGCUCCGGCGCAUCAUCGACCGAUCCUGAUGUUCUCGGAAGGAUUUGAGUAAGAGUUUUAACGGACGGACCCGAAAGACAGUGAACUAUGCUUGUAUAGGGUGAAGCCAGAGGAAACUCUGGUGGAGGCUCGCAGCGGUUCUGACGUGCAAAUCGAUCGUCA